rnacentral:lncRNA from 1 species
CCAUGGUCAUAAAGCUGCAUGACACGUACUCCACCACUUGCUCACAAGAACACCGCCCAUCUAGUAUAUAUUGUGUACUAUUGUUUAGCUCGUGGUUAGCAUUCGCUGGAUCAGGAUGGCGAGAACGUUGGUUUAUUCAACGAUUCACUCCAACCUUGCGGAUGACAGCGAUUGUAGCUCGAAGUCAUCAAAUGUGGUGUUUCCUACACAAUUUAUUAGCAUA